GAUGAAGAACGCAGCGAAAUGCGAUACUUGGUGUGAAUUGCAGAAUCCCGUGAACCUUCGAGUCUUUGAACGCAAGUUGCGCCCGAAGCCAUUAGGCCGAGGGCACGCCUGCCUGGGCGUCACACGUCGUUGCCCCCCCAUCUACUCCUUCGGGAUUGCGGGGGGCGGAUGAUGGCCUCUCGUGCGCCUCGUCGCGCGGUUGGCCUAAAUGCCAAGUCCUCGGCGACGCACGCCACGACAAUCGGUGGUUGCGAAACCUCGGUUGCCUGUCGUGUGCGGUCGUCGCGCAUCGAGGGCUCGAAAAAAUUGCCGGGCUUCGGCUCGACUUUCAACGCGACCCCAGGUCAGGCGGGGUUACCCGCUGAAUUUAAGCAUAUCAAUAAGCGGAGGA
rnacentral:misc_RNA from 1 species